CUAUGAAAAUUAUUCUUAAUCGCUUUAUUGAUACAUUUUAUUACAUUUAAUCAACCAUUAAACAUGCUUCAAUUAAACAAACUUAUAAACAUAAAUUUAAAUAAACGGCUAAAUGGAAUUCAAACGGUUCAAAAUUUCCUAUAAUUCUUAUAUGAAUUUAUAGCACAAAGUGCAGUUGGGUCGAACCUAAGACGCAAUUGUUGCAAACGGCGAGCAGAUAGAUCAGCGAUCCAUUCUAGCGGUCAAAUUGAUAUACAUAUAACAGCUGAUUGUCAAGCUGAAAUGGCGACGCAGCAAAGAAAGCGGGACAAAGCAAAACAACAACAAACGGUAUAAUUGCAAAUUUGAUAAGCGCAAAAAAGCGAUGGCACCAUAAAUAUAUCCUUUUAUUUAUGCAUACGAUUUUCUUUUGCUGACUAAUCAAAGUUAAUGUGUGGUCGGACGGCAGCAAACAAAAAGUAAAUAAGUAUGGCGUACGCGAGCAUGCAUGUGACUGCGUGUGUGUGUCUAGUAAGGCUUUGUUUGUUUGUGUUCAUAUCUGCAUGUGUGUUUGUGUGUGUAGCGGCAUUGUUAAAAACAGCAAGCGAGCAAAUAUAACGCAAUUUCUGUAAAUUGUAA